AGCAUAGCUACGGAGGUACACCCGGAUCCAUUCCGAACCCGGCAGUUAAGUCCGUAAACGCUGAAAGUACUUGGAGGGCAGCCUCCCGGGAUGACAGGAACUUGCCAAGC
rnacentral:rRNA from 1 species